GGGUUGUGAGGUUAAGCGACUAAGCGUACACGGUGGAUGCCCUGGCAGUCAGAGGCGAUGAAGGACGUGCUAAUCUGCGAUAAGCGUCGGUAAGGUGAUAUGAACCGUUAUAACCGGCGAUUUCCGAAUGGGGAAACCCAGUGUGAUUCGUCACACUAUCAUUAACUGAAUCCAUAGGUUAAUGAGGCGAACCGGGGGAACUGAAACAUCUAAGUACCCCGAGGAAAAGAAAUCAACCGAGAUUCCCCCAGUAGCGGCGAGCGAACGGGGAGCAGCCCAGAGCCUGAAUCAGUGUGUGUGUUAGUGGAAGCGUCUGGAAAGGCGCGCGAUACAGGGUGACAGCCCCGUACACAAAAAUGCACAUGCUGUGAGCUCGAUGAGUAGGGCGGGACACGUGGUAUCCUGUCUGAAUAUGGGGGGACCAUCCUCCAAGGCUAAAUACUCCUGACUGACCGAUAGUGAACCAGUACCGUGAGGGAAAGGCGAAAAGAACCCCGGCGAGGGGAGUGAAAAAGAACCUGAAACCGUGUACGUACAAGCAGUGGGAGCACGCUUAGGCGUGUGACUGCGUACCUUUUGUAUAAUGGGUCAGCGACUUAUAUUCUGUAGCAAGGUUAACCGAAUAGGGGAGCCGAAGGGAAACCGAGUCUUAACUGGGCGUUAAGUUGCAGGGUAUAGACCCGAAACCCGGUGAUCUAGCCAUGGGCAGGUUGAAGGUUGGGUAACACUAACUGGAGGACCGAACCGACUAAUGUUGAAAAAUUAGCGGAUGACUUGUGGCUGGGGGUGAAAGGCCAAUCAAACCGGGAGAUAGCUGGUUCUCCCCGAAAGCUAUUUAGGUAGCGCCUCGUGAAUUCAUCUCCGGGGGUAGAGCACUGUUUCGGCAAGGGGGUCAUCCCGACUUACCAACCCGAUGCAAACUGCGAAUACCGGAGAAUGUUAUCACGGGAGACACACGGCGGGUGCUAACGUCCGUCGUGAAGAGGGAAACAACCCAGACCGCCAGCUAAGGUCCCAAAGUCAUGGUUAAGUGGGAAACGAUGUGGGAAGGCCCAGACAGCCAGGAUGUUGGCUUAGAAGCAGCCAUCAUUUAAAGAAAGCGUAAUAGCUCACUGGUCGAGUCGGCCUGCGCGGAAGAUGUAACGGGGCUAAACCAUGCACCGAAGCUGCGGCAGCGACGCUUAUGCGUUGUUGGGUAGGGGAGCGUUCUGUAAGCCUGUGAAGGUGUACUGUGAGGUAUGCUGGAGGUAUCAGAAGUGCGAAUGCUGACAUAAGUAACGAUAAAGCGGGUGAAAAGCCCGCUCGCCGGAAGACCAAGGGUUCCUGUCCAACGUUAAUCGGGGCAGGGUGAGUCGACCCCUAAGGCGAGGCCGAAAGGCGUAGUCGAUGGGAAACAGGUUAAUAUUCCUGUACUUGGUGUUACUGCGAAGGGGGGACGGAGAAGGCUAUGUUGGCCGGGCGACGGUUGUCCCGGUUUAAGCGUGUAGGCUGGUUUUCCAGGCAAAUCCGGAAAAUCAAGGCCGAGGCGUGAUGACGAGGCACUACGGUGCUGAAGCAACAAAUGCCCUGCUUCCAGGAAAAGCCUCUAAGCAUCAGGUAACAUCAAAUCGUACCCCAAACCGACACAGGUGGUCAGGUAGAGAAUACCAAGGCGCUUGAGAGAACUCGGGUGAAGGAACUAGGCAAAAUGGUGCCGUAACUUCGGGAGAAGGCACGCUGAUACGUAGGUGAAGCGACUUGCUCGUGGAGCUGAAAUCAGUCGAAGAUACCAGCUGGCUGCAACUGUUUAUUAAAAACACAGCACUGUGCAAACACGAAAGUGGACGUAUACGGUGUGACGCCUGCCCGGUGCCGGAAGGUUAAUUGAUGGGGUUAGCGCAAGCGAAGCUCUUGAUCGAAGCCCCGGUAAACGGCGGCCGUAACUAUAACGGUCCUAAGGUAGCGAAAUUCCUUGUCGGGUAAGUUCCGACCUGCACGAAUGGCGUAAUGAUGGCCAGGCUGUCUCCACCCGAGACUCAGUGAAAUUGAACUCGCUGUGAAGAUGCAGUGUACCCGCGGCAAGACGGAAAGACCCCGUGAACCUUUACUAUAGCUUGACACUGAACAUUGAGCCUUGAUGUGUAGGAUAGGUGGGAGGCUUUGAAGUGUGGACGCCAGUCUGCAUGGAGCCGACCUUGAAAUACCACCCUUUAAUGUUUGAUGUUCUAACGUGGACCCGUGAUCCGGGUUGCGGACAGUGUCUGGUGGGUAGUUUGACUGGGGCGGUCUCCUCCUAAAGAGUAACGGAGGAGCACGAAGGUUGGCUAAUCCUGGUCGGACAUCAGGAGGUUAGUGCAAUGGCAUAAGCCAGCUUGACUGCGAGCGUGACGGCGCGAGCAGGUGCGAAAGCAGGUCAUAGUGAUCCGGUGGUUCUGAAUGGAAGGGCCAUCGCUCAACGGAUAAAAGGUACUCCGGGGAUAACAGGCUGAUACCGCCCAAGAGUUCAUAUCGACGGCGGUGUUUGGCACCUCGAUGUCGGCUCAUCACAUCCUGGGGCUGAAGUAGGUCCCAAGGGUAUGGCUGUUCGCCAUUUAAAGUGGUACGCGAGCUGGGUUUAGAACGUCGUGAGACAGUUCGGUCCCUAUCUGCCGUGGGCGCUGGAGAACUGAGGGGGGCUGCUCCUAGUACGAGAGGACCGGAGUGGACGCAUCACUGGUGUUCGGGUUGUCAUGCCAAUGGCACUGCCCGGUAGCUAAAUGCGGAAGAGAUAAGUGCUGAAAGCAUCUAAGCACGAAACUUGCC
rnacentral:rRNA from 1 species